GCUAGUCGAGCGCUUCCUAGCCAAUUUGGGGGCGCGGCACACAGCUCAGUAACACGUGGCUAACCUGCCCUUGGGACAAGAACGCCCCCGGGAAACUGGGGCUAAUUCGUGAUAGGCGAAGAACUCUGGAAUGAGUCUUCACCCAAAAGACGCUUACGCUAUGCUUGUAGGCGCCGCCCAAGGAUGGGGCCGCGACCGAUCAGGUUGUUGGUGAGGUAAUGGCUCACCAAGCCUUUUACCGGUGCGGGCCGUGAGAGCGGGAGCCCGGAGAUGGGCACUGAGACAAGGGCCCAGGCCCUACGGGGCGCAGCAGUCGCGAAAACUUUGCAAUAAGCGAAAGCUUGACAGGGCUAUCCCGAGUGCCAUCCGCUGAGGAAGGCUUUUACCCAGUCUAGAACGCUGGGGGAAUAAGGAGAGGGCAAGUCUGGUGUCAGCCGCCGCGGUAAUACCAGCUCUCCGAGUGGUGUGGAUGUUUAUUGGGCCUAAAGCAUCCGUAGCUGGCUAGGUUAGUCCCUUGUUAAAUCCACCGAAUUAAUCGUUGGAUUGCGGGGGAUACUGCUUGGCUAGGGGACGAGAGAGGCAGACGGUAUUUCCGGGGUAGGGGUGAAAUCCUAUAAUCCCGGGAAGACCACCAGUGGCGAAGGCUGUCUGCUAGAACGCGCCCGACGGUGAGGGAUGAAAGCUGGGGGAGCGAACCGGAUUAGAUACCCGGGUAGUCCCAGCUGUAAACGAUGCAGGCUAGGU
rnacentral:rRNA from 1 species